CAAAGUGUAGCUUAAUAAAAGCUCUCCGCUUACACCGGACAGAUAUCUGUUUGACCCAGAUCAUUUUGA
rnacentral:tRNA from 1 species